UCCCCGUUGCCGGGGCAGUCUGACUAGAAAAAUUCAACUAGUCAUAAGGGUUGCGCUCGUUGAUGGACUUAACCAAACAUCUCACGACACGAGCUGACGACGGCCAUGCAACACCUGUCAUUGGGUUCCCGAAGGCACUCACUUCUUUCAAAGUAAUUCCCAAGAUGUCAAGCCUUGGUAAGGUUCUUCGCUUACCAUCGAAUUAAACAACACGCUCCACCGCUUGUGCGGGUCCCCGUCAAUUCCUUUGAGUUUUAAUCUUGCGACCGUACUCCCCAGGCGGGAUGCUUAACGCGUUAGCUUCGCUACGCAACGGGUCGAUACGUCACACAGCUAGCAUCCAUAGUUUACGGCGUGGACUAC
rnacentral:misc_RNA from 1 species